GGUGGUGGUGCAUGACCGUUCUUAGUUGGUGGAGCGAUUUCUCUAGUUAAUUCCAAUAAUGAAUGAGACUCUGGCAUGCUAACUAGUUAUGCGACCCCUGAGCUUAGACUCUGUGAAAGGAUUUUGUGAAACUGUAACAACCUUUCAUGUGGAUGGUUUGGACUUUAUGAGCAGACAGGUGCAAUGGACACCAU